GCUGGCCAGUGAUCUAUCAGGGCUGGCCUAGUGAGAACACGGCCAAUCAGAUGCUUUCCUGGAACCCGGGGCCAAAGCUGCCCCAGGGGAGUGUGGUAGCCGCAGGCAGAAGGGCUAGCCCGGAGACAGGAGGGGGAGGUCCGAGGAGGGGAUCCCGGCGAGGGAGACGCGGGGCGAGUGGCCUGGGCUCCUCCUUGGCUUGACCCAGCUUAGACUUUCUCAAACCGAAGUCAUUCUCGCUGGCUCCUGGCGACUCUCAUCCUGUCCGCUGUCACCCUUUCGUGAUUGACCUGAAAUCACUUCGUCACUGCAGCCGCACCCUAAGCAUUCAUCUCAUAUCUGUGAUGUUUGCUGUGCUCCUUAUGUUUGCUCUAAUAUGGGUUAAACCAAAUUCAACACCAUCAAAAUAAUGUUCUUCCAUUUGCACACCCACUUUCACAGUAGCAGCGUUCCCAACAGCCAAAAGGUGGGAGCAGCCCACGGGUCCACGGACGGGUGAAGGGGUGAGCAAACAGUCUAUACGGACAGUGGAGAGCUCUUUAACCGCAGAAAGAAGGAAAUUCUGCAUAUGCUGCAACAUGGAUGAAAGACACAGAGUCUGGCUCUGGGGCCCAGGCUUGAGUGCAGUGGUGAGACGGGAGAAUAAGUCCUAGAGGAAGGGAACCUGAGGACUUCCCAGAACUAAAUCAGAUGGAGAGGAGAGAGGAGGCAUUUCAGCUACGACAGGAAAUAUCCUCUUCAUUUGCAUAGGGCGUUCACCAAGGUGCACACCAAAUAACCAAUGGAAACCUCUAGAGAGUAUUUAAACUCCAGAAAAUUCUGUGACGGGCUCUUGAGCCAACGUGCUCCGGCCGCUCCCACUCUGUGCAGUCGACUGUACUUUUGUUUUCAAUAAAACUCUGCUUUUGUUUCUUCA